AUGGCCGCCGGCGUCUGGAACGUCCUGGACUGGUUCCCCGGAGGCGAGGCCAUCCUCAGGGCCGAGAGCGCCUUCCUCUCCGCCAGCACCGCCGCGGGCGCCGGCGAGGACCGCAUCAGCGCCCUCCACGACCACCCCCUCAGGGACAUCGUGUCCCGGCUCCCCGCCAGGGACGCCGCCCGCACCGCCGCGCUCGCCUCCCGCUGGCGCCACCUCUGGCGCUCCACGCCGCUCGUCUUCCACGACCCCCACCUCCUCCCGUCCCGACAGCCCGAGCUCGCCGCCGCCGUCGCCCGCGUCCUCGCCGCCCACCCGGGCCCCUUCGCCACCGUCAGCAUCAGAUGCUGCGACUUCCGGCGCCAAAGCCUCGAGCUCGCCGAGUGCCCGCGUCUCCUCGCCGCCAAGGCCGUCCGGGACCUCGUCCUGGUCAACAACAUGGCCGCCGACCUCGACCACCUCCCCGACGCGCCCGCCGGGGUCCUCAGCUGCGCCUCGCUCCGCCGCCUCUUCCUGGGAUACUUUCGGUUCCCUGACACCGGCGCCGGCAGAGAGGAGGGAUUGUUCCCGCACCUCCGGGAGCUCAGCUUGCUCGGCGUCCACAUGCCCGACUGCGACAACCUCGACCACCUGCUCGCCCGCAGCCCCGUUCUGGACACCCUCGUCCUCGUCCUCAGCCGUAUCUUCCACCACAUUCACCUCUGCAGCCAGAGCCUCAAAUCAGCGCUCCUCUGGAGUUACUACGCGCAGGAGAUCGCCGUCAUGGACUGCCCGCUCCUGGUGCGAUGUCUCAUUCGGUGA
rnacentral:rRNA from 1 species